GGAUGUGAGGGCGAUCUGGCUGCGACAUCUGUCACCCCACUGAUCGCCAGGGUUGAUUCGGCUGAUCUGGCUGGCUAGGCGGGUGUCCCCCUCCUCCCUCACCGAUCCAUGUGCGUCCCUCCCAAAGCUGCGCGCUCGGUCGAAGAGGAUGACCUUCCCCCCCGAAGAGAGGACCGGUCUUCGGUCAAGGGUAUACGAGUAGCUGCGCUCCCCUGCUAGAACCUCCAAACAAGCUCUCAAGAAUCAUUGAUCGGCUGCCUCCUGCACAUCCCUUACUGGGGACCGCAACAUGGGUAUGUGCCUGAUCGG
rnacentral:snRNA from 1 species